CGAUCUCCACUGUGUUUGUACCAAGAGAGAGUAUGGACCAAGUCUUCGAAUCUGAAUUGCCAUUACAUUAAAAGGAACAUUGUUUUAUAAACCAAAUUGUAAACAUGGAUCCCCGUUUAAAAGCGGCUUUGCUUUUUCAAGACAAAAUUAUACGGCGGUGCACACUACCAUGCCGGGACAAGGGACAUUGUCACCCGGACUUGGCUUGCUCCUGUUGUAUUCCUCCUGUACUCCGUACUAAGAGGUAUAUACUUCCACCAAUAACUACAG